GAAAAACUCGUCCUCGAAUUAUUUCUUACUUGAAAGAAUUGAAUGAGAAUAGUUCUGUUGCAGCUGGAAAUUCAGCAUCAAACAUCACAGAUAGUACAACUGCAGUUGCUGACAACGAUCAUCCAAAAGCUCACAAGAGUGAAUGGCUCAAAGUAGUGGCCAAGUCACUAACUGGUGAAGCUGUUGAAUUGACAGCAAAAUCAUCUGAUACUGUUGCCACUUUGAAGCAGCAAUUGCAAACCAAGAAUGACCCAUCAUCAUGGGAUCAACUGCUUGUUUUUGAGAAGAAGCAACUA